CUUGGGAAAUCCCUUUCUAUUUGUAUUUCGCGCUUCGUGUCACGUGAUUCACACACAAACAAACAAAAUGGCGGAGGCUUCGAAAUCUACAAUGAGCGUACCAGCCAAAACAGAGGGAGAGAUGAGAAGAAGUAAAUGCGUGAGACAGCCAUCUAAGAGAAUGUUGUUGUAUUCUCAGGACACAGAUUCAGAUUCAAGUCUACAGAAGAGUUAAGGAAAACGUCCUGCCAGAAAGAUCCAGAAAGUUGAUACAUUAGCAACAAUAACUAAGUGGUGCUCUUGUCACAGAUGCCCACAAUACGAGAGAGUGGAAGAUCGAGUUUGCUGUGGGAUGGUCCCAGAAUUAUGCUCAAGUCA